rnacentral:rRNA from 1 species
CCUACGGGAGGCUGCAGUGAGGAAUAUUGGUCAAUGGGCGGAAGCCUGAACCAGCCAAGUAGCGUGCAGGAUGACGGCCCUACGGGUUGUAAACUGCUUUUAUACGGGAAUAACGCGCCUUACGUGUAGGGCUUUGCAUGUACCGUAUGAAUAAGGACCGGCUAAUUCCGUGCCAGCAGCCGCGGUAAUACGGAAGGUCCGUGCGUUAUCCGGAUUUAUAGGGUUUAAAGGGAGCGUAGGCCGCAUGUCAAGCGUGCGGUGAAAUGUCCGGGCUCAACCCGGGCCUUGCAGCGCGAACUGGCGUGCUUGAGUCCGCGGAAAGCAGGCGGAAUUCGUCGUGUAGCGGUGAAAUGCUUAGAUAUGACGAAGAACCCCGAUUGCGAAGGCAGCUUGCUGCAGCGGAACUGACGCUGAUGCUCGAAAGCGCGGGUAUCGAACAGGAUUAGAUACCCGAGUAGUC